rnacentral:rRNA from 1 species
GGGAGAGCGCAGCUACAAUGCAGUGAAGAAGUAGCAAUACUUAGUGGCAGACGGGUGAGUAACAUGUAGGUAUCUGCCCUUUGGCCUGGAAUAACACGAGGAAACUUGUGCUAAUACCGGAUAAGUCUUUACGGAGAAAGCUUUAUGCACCAUUGGAUGAGCCUGCACUUGAUUAGUUUGUUGGUGGGGUAAUGGCCUACCAAGACUGUGAUCAAUAGCUGAUUUGAGAGGAUGAUCACCCACAUUGGGACUGAGACACGGCCCAAACUCCUACGGGAGGCAGCAGUGGGGAAUCUUGCACAAUGGAGGAAACUCUGAUGCAGCGAUGCCGCGUGAGUGAAGAAGGCCUUUGGGUUGUAAAGCUCUUUCGUCGGGGAAGAAAAUGACUGUACCCGAAUAAGAAGGUCCGGCUAACUUCGUGCCAGCAGCCGCGGUAAUACGAAGGGACCUAGCGUAGUUCGGAAUUACUGGGCUUAAAGAGUUCGUAGGUGGUUGAAAAAGUUGGUGGUGAAAUCCCAGAGCUUAACUCUGGAACUGCCAUCAAAACUUUUCAGCUAGAGUUUGAUAGAGGAAAGCAGAAUUUCUAGUGUAGAGGUGAAAUUCGUAGAUAUUAGAAAGAAUACCAAUUGCGAAGGCAGCUUUCUGGAUCAUUACUGACACUGAGGAACGAAAGCAUGGGUAGCGAAGAGGAUUAGAUACCCUCGUAGUCCAUGCCGUAAACGAUGUGUGUUAGACGUUGGAAAUUUAUUUUCAGUGUCGCAGCGAAAGCGAUAAACACACCGCCUGGGGAGUACGACCGCAAGGUUAAAACUCAAAUGAAUUGACGGGGACCCGCACAAGUAGUG